GGACUACCGGGGUUUCUAAUCCUGUUUGAUCCCCACGCUUUCGCGCCUCAGCGUCAGUUGUCGUCCAGAUAGCCGCCUUCGCCACCGGUGUUCCUGCUAAUAUCUACGAAUUUCACCUCUACAUUAGCAAUUCCGCUAUCCCCUCCGACACUCAAGCCUGUCAGUUUCAAAGGCAAUUCUGGAGUUGAGCUCCAGGCUUUCACCCCUGACUUGACAAGCCGCCUACGCGCGCUUUACGCCCAGUAAUUCCGAACAACGCUAGCACCCUUCGUAUUACCGCGGCUGCUGGCAC
rnacentral:rRNA from 1 species